rnacentral:lncRNA from 1 species
CGUCACUCUCAGGAAGCUCCACUCCAAUGAGAAGAGAUGGACAGUAUAGACACAAAUAGUAAAGAUACAACCUGUAUGAUAGGGAAGUCACCAGCACAGACUUGGAGUAGCUCUUCAUACUACAUCCGUGUGGAGUAGCUCUUCAUACUACAUCCGUGUGAAGAAGAAGAAGGCACAAAGUUCAUCUUCCAAAGUCAAACAGAAAGCAAUGAGGCAAGCAGUAUGAGAGCUGUCUGUGACCGCAUCAUGUGGGAAGUAUAUGCUACAUGCUAGUGGCCAGACUGUGUCUUGGAAGUCAAAAUUACAACUGCAGACCAGG